rnacentral:rRNA from 1 species
AACGAACGCUGGCGGCACGCCUAACACAUGCAAGUCGAACGCGAACGGGACUUCGGUCCUUAUUAGAGUGGCGGACAGGUGAGUAACACGUGGGAAUAUGCCUUUCAGUAAGGAACAACGCUUGGAAACGAGUGCUAAUACCUUAUACGCCCCAAGGGGGAAAGAUUUAUCGCUGAGAGAUUGGCCCGCGCUAGAUUAGCUAGUUGGUGAGGUAAUGGCUCACCAAGGCGACGAUCUAUAGCUGGUUUGAGAGGAUGAUCAGCCACACUGGAACUGAGACACGGUCCAG